AUUGAACGCUGGCGGAAUGCUUUACACAUGCAAGUCGAGCGGUAACAGGCGUAGCAAUACGUGCUGACGAGCUGCGAACGGGGGAGUAAUGCUUCGGAAUCUUCCUCGUAGUGGGGAAUAACCUGGGGAAACUCAGGCUAAUACCGCAUACGAACUACGGUUGAAAGCAGGGGAUCGCAAGACAUUGCGCUAUGAGAUGAGCCGAAGUCGGAUUAGCUAGUUGGUGAGGUAAAGGCUCACCAAGGCGACGAUCCGUAGCUGGUCUGAGAGGACGACCAGCCACACUGGGACUGAGACACGGCCCAGACUCCUAUGGGAGGCAGCAGUGGGGAAUAUUGGACAAUGGGGGCAACCCUGAUCCAGCGACGCCGCGUGUGUGAAGAAGGCCUGCGGGUUGUAAAGCACUUUUAGUGGGGAUGAAAAGCCGAAGGCUAAUACCUUUCGGCCUUGACCUAACCCAAAGAAAAAGCACCGGCUAACUCUGUGCCAGCCGCCGCGGUAA
rnacentral:rRNA from 1 species